UGGGGAAUUUUGGACAAUGGGCGCAAGCCUGAUCCAGCCAUUCCGCGUGAGUGCAGAAGGCCUUCGGGUUGUAAAGCUCUUUCAGCAGGAACGAAACGGUCCGCUCUAACAUAGCGGACUACUGACGGUACCUGAAGAAGACGCACCGGCUAACUACGUGCCAGCAGCCGCGGUAAUACGUAGGGUGCGAGCGUUAAUCGGAAUUACUGGGCGUAAAGCGUGCGCAGGCGGCUUUUUAAGCCAGAUGUGAAAUCCCCGGGCUUAACCUGGGAACUGCAUUUGGAACUGGAAGGCUAGAGUGCGGCAGAGGGGGGUAGAAUUCCACGUGUAGCAGUGAAAUGCGUAGAGAUGUGGAGGAAUACCGAUGGCGAAGGCAGCCCCCUGGGUCGACACUGACGCUCAUGCACGAAAGCGUGGGGAGCAAA
rnacentral:rRNA from 1 species